CACGUAGGGGGCAAGCGUUGUCCGGAUUUAUUGGGCGUAAAGAGCUCGUAGGCGGUCUGUUACGUCUGCUGUGAAAACCCUGGGCUUAACCCUGGGCUUGCAGUGGAUACGGGCAAACUAGAGUACUGCAGGGGAGACUGGAAUUCCUGGUGUAGCGGUGAAAUGCGCAGAUAUCAGGAGGAACACCGGUGGCGAAGGCGGGUCUCUGGGAAGUAACUGACGCUGAGGAGCGAAAGCGUGGGGAGCGAACAGG
rnacentral:rRNA from 1 species